rnacentral:rRNA from 1 species
AGUGAACGCUGGCGGUAGGCCUAACACAUGCAAGUCGAACGGCAGCACAGUAAGAGCUUGCUCUUACGGGUGGCGAGUGGCGGACGGGUGAGGAAUACAUCGGAAUCUACUUUUUCGUGGGGGAUAACGUAGGGAAACUUACGUUAAUACCGCAUACGACCUACGGGUGAAAGCAGGGGAUCUUCGGACCUUGCGCGAUUGAAUGAGCCGAUGUCGGAUUAGCUAGUUGGCGGGGUAAAGGCCCACCAAGGCGACGAUCCGUAGCUGGUCUGAGAGGAUGAUCAGCCACACUGGAACUGAGACACGGUCCAGACUCCUACGGGAGGCAGCAGUGGGGAAUAUUGGACAAUGGGCGCGAGCCUGAUCCAGCCAUACCGCGUGGGUGAAGAAGGCCUUCGGGUUGUAAAGCCCUUUUGUUGGGAAAGAAAAGCAGCAGGUUAAUACCCCGCUGUUCUGACGGUACCCAAAGAAUAAGCACCGGCUAACUUCGUG